UACGAAGGGGGCUAGCGUUGUUCGGAAUUACUGGGCGUAAAGCGCACGUAGGCGGAUCUUUAAGUCAGAGGUGAAAUCCCAAGGCUCAACCUUGGAACUGCCUUUGAUACUGGGGAUCUUGAGUCCGGGAGAGGUGAGUGGAACUGCGAGUGUAGAGGUGAAAUUCGUAGAUAUUCGCAAGAACACCAGUGGCGAAGGCGGCUCUCUGGGACGGUACUGACGCUGAGACGCGAAAGCGUGGGGAGCGAACAGG
rnacentral:rRNA from 1 species